GCCAUGCAUGUCUAAGUAUAAGCAACUAUACUGUGAAACUGCGAAUGGCUCAUUAAAUCAGUUAUAAUUUAUUUGAUAGUACCUUUACUUGGAUAACUGUGGUAAUUCUAGAGCUAAUACAUGCUAAAAACCUCGACUUCGGGAGGGGUGUAUUUAUUAGAUUAAAAACCAAUGCCCUUCGGGGCUCUUUGGUGAUUCAUAAUAACUAAACGAAUCGCAUGGCCUUGCGCCGGCGAUGGUUCAUUCAAAUUUCUGCCCUAUCAACUUUCGAUUGUAGAGUAGUGGUCUACAAUGGUUUCAACGGGUAACGGGGAAUUAGGGUUCUAUUCCGGAGAGGGAGCCUGAGAAACGGCUACCACAUCCAAGGAAGGCAGCAGGCGCGCAAAUUACCCAAUCCCGACACGGGGAGGUAGUGACAAUAAAUACUGAUACAGGGUUCUUUUGGAUCUUGUAAUUGGAAUGAGUACAAUGUAAAUACCUUAACGAGGAACAAUUGGAGGGCAAGUCUGGUGCCAGCAGCCGCGGUAAUUCCAGCUCCAAUAGCGUAUAUUAAAGUUGUUGCAGUUAAAAAGCUCGUAGUUGAACCUUGGAUCUGGCUGAUCUGUCCUCCUAAUCGAGCGCACGGAUUCGGCUGGAUCUUUCCUUCUGGGGAACCCUAUGCCCUUUACUGGGCGUAGUGGGGAACCAGGAC
rnacentral:rRNA from 1 species